AUGACAACUGGUAGCGCAUGCUUAUCGCGAAAAAAGACCACAGCAAUUGAACAAGCGGACGCCUUAAAAAUAUAUUCAAGUACCGUUUUCCCGCGGCAACGUGAGCACAAUUUUCCCUUUAACGUAUGCUUGGCUUUUCAGAGUGAAAUUGAGAGAGAGAGAGAGAAAAUGAACAUUUUCUGCGAGAGAUGGGAGAGAUCCCGACGAAAACGAAGCUAGAGUUUUCUUUCAACCGAUUGGCAUCAUUUGAGGGAAAAUUCAGUUUCUCUUAGGCAGCAACGCCAUCAGGGCGUUUUGCUCUAAACUAUUCAAGCCUGAAACAUUCUAGUCUUGUUUUUCAUUUCUAGAGCCAGUGAAAAACGAGACAAAAAUUAAACACACUCCUGGAAACAAACGGAAAACCGAACCACAAAAGGGAGGGAUAUUCCCGGUUUUAUCCUAAUUUCUUUAUGAAACAUUAACCCUUGUUUUAGUUUCUUAGUGUAUACGUUUCCGUAUGGGUUAAAUCCAGCUUUCUUUACGUUCGAUCUGAGUGGGAAGCAACAAAGGAAGUCCAAUCGAGGACAGCGAGUUAUCGAUCAAAAACUCCCAUCGUUGCAGUCGAAAAGAGUGUAUAAGUGGGACAGUGUAGUAGUACGAGGACGCGACUUGUGCUUCAUCGGUUUUUUUUUGUAACGCCUGGUGUUGGUAGAAGGAAAUGGUAUCAGCGAAGAUGGUCGAACCGUUGAUAGUGCUUCUGGUUUAUUUAAAUUGUGAUUUAAUAUUUUACGUUAAAAAUAUCAAUAAACAUUAAGGUGUAUCAACUCGUUGAAGCUGCUGUCCUCCUUUCCUUUGUCGUACUACUUUGAUAACCUACCAACGGUGCAAAAACGGUUCUUUGACUUAUCCUGAUAAUUCACGAAACAUAAGCUUGCAUUGGUUGGUAUGCGUGAGAUCGUAAAUAACCGACUUAGUCGAGCAACGGCUUUGGGAUGAUUGGCGGAAAUGCGUGGGUGAUAUCCUCCACCUAGUUCCUCCUCCAGCCACACCGAUUUCCACACCCUGAGGGCACACCAGCCGGAUUAGCGUUUAUGGGUGUACCAAAUUUGCCGGCCGAACACCUUCAUGUGACCCGUCGCCCGUGAAUCGGCGCGUCUCGCCGAGCGGAGCGUGGAAAACAUCGUCAACACCGUACCAAGAGAACAACUACGGCGUAGGACCACUUGACUAGCGGAUCCAUUCGCCGCCGCUGCCCUUGUCUAUCAACAGAUACGCCCCGCAAGAUCGCUCCGUGCUAGAUAAUUACUUGACGUAGGGGAUGUCCUACUCGUUUUGACGGCUCUGAUCCGUUCGUCAUGUACCGUGAAUUCAACGCCGUUUGUUACCGGAUUUGUCGUGCUCGUUUCGUACGGCCUAUUACUUGUUCGAUUUUGGCGCUAGCGGCCGGUGAAAACAGGAGCAAGAAAACAGCCAUGGAGAAGGUCCCCUGCACCGUGAUGAUCGGUCUCCAAACUCCAUACACCGGAAGCAGCGCUCCAUGGCUGAUGGUCCAGACUACUCCUCGAAGAACUAUACGGCUCACAUCUCGACUAACAGUCGAACGCCGGAACGUAGUUUCCGGCCUCGGAUGACCCGUAGCUGCCCUCACCGGCUGUGACACCGGAAGGGUCAAAGCUGCUGUUGCGGCUGGUGCUGUUGCCGCUGCUGUUGUUGUUUCUGCUGCCGCUUUCGAUCAGUUUCAUUUGGCAUCAGCGUAGGGAUCUCCAUGUGGUUCGGAUUGUAUGUGAAAUCCAGACUUUUCCGCAGAGCUCGCACGACAUCGACGUAGGACUGCCCUGCCGCCGGCUGAACUUCUACAAGAUCACGGCUACGCUUCCGCCCGCAGUUGCGUCGUCUGCGAACAGUAGUUUCCGGCCUCGAAUGACCCGUAGUUGCGCUCACCGGCUGUGACACAGGAAGGGUCACAUGCUGCUGCUGCGGCUGGUGCUGUUGCCGUUGCUGUUGUUGGGGCUUCCGUUGGCUCUGACCGAUUUGAGCUGCAACCGAGACGCGUCGAUUGAGAGGUCACACGAUGGUGUUUGGUCGGAAAAGUUGGUACCUCCUAAAGCGCUUUUCCGGCUGGUGUGCCCUCAGGGUGUGGAAAUCGGUGCGGCUGGAGGAGGAACUAGGUGGAGGACGUUGAUCCGCACAUGACUAGAAAUCGAUCAAAACACGGAAUAACCGAUUUGCACGGCAGUUUUCCCCCUAUGGAUGGCGGGAGAGGGGGGUGAUGAGUGGUUGGUGUGGUGUUUUCCACGCUCCUCUUGACGAGACGGUAACAAUUACCUUUUAUGACACCUCAUGCGUGUCACGCGAACAUUGUUGUUGUCUAUCUCUUCAGGAUCUCAAGUAAAUCGCAAAUAACGAACAUUUUGAAAUGUUUCAUGAAAUAUAGACCUUCCUUUAUUGGUAAUAACUUUAGUACUAAUGAUCGGAUAAGUAUGUAAAACACAUGCAAAGACGCAGAAUUGAAUUCUACACAUACCAUGCGAACAUUAUUGUUGUCUAUCUUUUAGGAUUUCAAGUAAAUUACAAAUAAAGAAAAAAUUGAAAUAUUUCA